GCCCGAUGUGGGACUUGAUCCCAGGUCUCCAGGAUCACGCCCUGGGCUGAAGGUGGCGCUAAACCGCUGGGCCACCCAGGCUGCCCGAUUUAGUCCUAAUUUAAAAAGGUAUUUUCUUUUGGAAACAAAACACUGGGCCCUGGGGUGCCAGCCCCUACCCUCCUUACGCACCACCGCCCCCCCACCACCACACUUCUGGCAUUUAGAUUUAGGUCAUUUUUGUCUAGCAUUUGGUUCAUUUUCCUAGCAUUUUGCCAAGCAAACGGAGGCUGCCAUCACAUCUCCUGAGCACUCUACCGUGUGUCCAAAACCUGCAUUCCCACAACCAUCCCUACCGACCAGGGUCCUAACCCUGCAUGGCCAGUCCCCUGGAACUGUGCAGCCCCUCACCCCCCACUGAGGUCAUCUGACUUCCUUCCACCCCCAGAACCCACUGCCUCCCUUCUGGGCCUGGGCAGGUGUCCAUGCCUCUGUGUCCUGAAGCAGUUUUCUCCCAUACUGCUGCAGCAGAGCCUUACAAAAGCAAUGUGGAGCAAACCUGGCCGCUUCCUUUCUGGUGUCCUUCCUGGCAGCACCGAGGACCCAGGACCUCCUCCCCCAACAGUCCCAAUCAGCCAGAGCCUGCUCCACUGCCCCCCUCCACACCUCUCACCUCACUGCUUCUGUGGGGAUGGGUGGGCUGGGGUCAGGCCAGAGUGGUGCCACCACCUACCUGGGAGCACAGCCUUUGCCUCCGGGUAAGAAGAGAUGGGCAGCCCCCAUGAAAUGUCUAGGUGGAAACUCAGAAGUAACAUUAAGCCUGGAUUAAAAGGAACAAGUAGUCACUCUGCCUCCCAGAAGUGGUCUUAAGAUAGGGAGGCCAAUUCCUAAAUGUAAAAGUUUAAUGAUUGUAGGUUGGCUUAAUAGGCUUGUAUCUUAAAUUGCUUUCUCUUAUUGGAUUUCUCUCCUCACAUGUUUUAGUUUUAUUGGUCUAAGCCCUGAAAACCAUCACAGUGAAGUGUUUAGAGCCAAGAUGAAAUUUGAUUUUCAUAGUGGCUGAGCGUACACAGAGAUGCUGCAGAUCCACAUGCAGGCUCUCCAGCUCCAGCUCAGGUUCAUGGGAGGAAAAGCCUCCAGGGAGGGGUCCCAGCAGGUUCUCAGGGAUGUUGGUCUCCCAGCCCCCACACUGGACCCCUCACCCUAUCCUGACGCCAAUCCCUGCCUCCCCACUUCUAAGCCCCAGCAUGGCCUAUUCAGCUGGAAUCUCCAGAAGCAGGAAACAGCAGAAACCUGGAUUAGGAGAAAGCAGUAAUAAGGAUGGUGGCUGUUUGAGAGGAAGCAAGCCUUGCCACCUUUGGGAUGAAAUUUAAGUUGUUCAAGGUACAUUUUCCAAGCUUUGCACCAGGGCUUUGGGGUUCCAGGCCUGAACCAGGAACAGCAGGCUCACAAGAGAGGAGAGACGUGGCAAGUGCUGAACAAGGCGGCAAAUUUACUCCCCUGGUAAAUGGCGGAGUUUCUGGUGAAAGUGGCAGGUAAAGGGGAAGAUCAGGGAAGGUGUAGGGAGCAGGAAUUAUGUCUUAGCUUCCUUGCCCCCAAGCCAAUCUUUCUGUCAAUUACUGUUUAUCAGAAAGCCAUUUUAAACAAGACUUGGAUGAGAAUAUCAUGUCCAUAAUAAUUUUCCUCAAGGCUGAGUCACUGCUUACCUGACAAAUCAUAAUGGGCCUUUGCUUCAGGUCUUUUUCAGUCUUAUUUCCUAUUGUCUGGAAUCCUUAAACACUCAAUUUUUGUAACAAAACAGUCUCUGUUUUCUCUUUGUCAUCCUCAUCACAGGUAACAGUUUCACUCAAUAUUGCAUUACAGUAGGACCUGAGUCUCAAUCCAUCUACAGUAUUUUUUUUUUUUUUUUUGCCACUCAGCACCUUACUAGUAGUUCAUGUAUGUAAGUAGCCUCAAUAUCAAGGUAUCAGGGUUUUUUUUUUUUUUAUUAGAUAGGAAAACACUAGCUGUUGCAACAAACACCAGGAUUUCAGUGGCUUAAGACAGUAAAAUGAUUUUCUUGCACACCCAAUAGUCUGUUCCUUGUAGGCAGGGAUUUUUCCAUCAUAUGGUUCCAUCAUUUCAGUGCCUUAUCCCUCUGCUUCUAAGAGAAGGGUAAAGAGCCUGGAGCAGCACUGGGGACAUUAUUUUGGGCCAGUUGUGGAACUGGGACACAACUUCAUUCCUUUGGCACAGAACAAUUUCAAGGGAGCUAGGAAAUGUUAUUCCUGGCUAUUAUUAAUAGAUAUUUCCUGGUGACAACUCCACAAAUUUGUGGGGGAUGUUGACUAAUUGGUAAUAGCCUCUGUGUAACUAAAGUGCUUUACCAUUUAUAAAGCAUUUUAAUGUAAAUAAUGACAUGAAGUAAGCCUAAAAGGUUUAUUAUCUCCAUGUCAUAAAGGGAGAAAUGGAUACAGAGAUGUUAACCUGUGCAAGAUUGUAUCACUCGACUUCUGGUUUCAGAUCCAAUGCGUAAAGAGCUUGGAAGUUAUCACUCCUCUUACAACAACAAAACAAAAUUGAAAGAAAAAGAAAAACCCUGAAAAUCAAUGCCUUUUCUUGUACUCACCAGAGAAUUGAGGUUACAAGACAAACUGCUGUCCUGAAAUCUGUAGAGAAGGGUGAAGACAGAGAUUCACAGCUGAGAUCUGCUUACCUAGAGUGAAAACUUCCGGAGCCAUCAACUGUAGGAAUCACUUAGAUGGCCAUUUUGACAAAUCACUGGGUGCUGAGUGUGGGCUAGCUUGAGAGUGAAAAACUCCUGGAGGCCACAGUCAUAGGAAAUUUUACAGAUUUUCAAAGGUUUUACCUCCAAGAGAACCCCACCAGUUUAUUAUGAUGAAGAAUCAAGAAAUACCUCCUGCUGGCUCUGGCAGGUGGAAGAGAAAGAUAACCAUUUUGAGAUAUGCCCAAAACAUUCUCCAUUAGAAAGACUUACUUUCUAAGGGAAAAGACUACCAGAGCAUUAUCCUGCAUAAGAAGGUCAUUUACCCAAUUCCAGUCCCCUCAAUCCUUCCUAUUUUACCCCAGGGGUAAAAAAAAUAAUGCCAAGAAUCCCCUGUGAAGGUCGCAGCCUGGGGACAGGCCCAAAAGACAGAUUUUAUCAUUAAAAUUAUAGAAUGCUUCCCCUCCCCUACACCUUGCCACCACAGCAACAGGAAUCAAAAAUAAUUGAGUUCCAGUUAAAGGAACGGAAAGAGCAAGGAGCAGACUCUGAAGAGGAGUUCUUAGGGAAGCCAAAACAGCAGAGGACACAGAAGCAGAAACCCUAGAGGAAGCCAAAACCUCUGGCGCCUACAGUAACAAUAAACAUUAAACACAGCCCAAAUCCUUGGCAGAUUAACAUAAAUCCUCACACUAAAGGCCUUUUACCUCAGUUUCUGUUACCUGAUACAUUAUGGCUGGAGUCUAACAAAAAAUUGCAAGGCUUGCUAAAAGACAAGGAAAAAAAUCUGAAGAGUAUCAGAACCAGAAUCAGAUAUUGACACAAAUGUUGGAAUUAUCAAACAAGGAAUUUAAAAUAACUGAUUAAUAUGUUGAGGGCUCUAAGGAAAAAAGUAGACACCACGAGUGAACAGAUGGGUAAUGUAAGUCAAGAGAUGGAAACUCUAAGAAAAAUCCAAAGAAAAUGCUAGAAAUCCACAACAAUGUGACAAAUUAAAAAUCCCUUUGAAGGGCUCAUCUGUAGACUGGACACUACAUCUGCAGCAGUAUAUUGUGCUGUUUCAGGGUGGACUUAGAUUAUUUAUUUAUGUAAAUGCAAACUCAAGUCAACUACUAAACGGUAUAAAAAGAAAAUAAUUGAUAUUCUAUUUUUUAAAACCUUUAUUUUUUUAAGAUAUUAUUUAUUUAUUCAUGAGAGACACAGAGAGGCAGAGACAUAGGCAGAGGGAGGAGAAGCAGGCUCCAUUCAGGAAGCCCAACAUGGGACCCGAUACCGGAACCCAAGGAUCAUGCCUGAGCUGAAGAUAGAUGCUCAACUGCUGAGCCACCCAGGCGUCCCUGUGAUUGAUAUUCUAAUAGAAGAGAUAAAAUGGAGAGAAUAACACUAAGGAAUUAGCCAUAAGCAUAUUGCUCUGAGAAAUUAUCUGGAAACUAGGAUAAUAAAAAAAAAAAGUAGUGAUGUAUCUAGUCUCCAGUGGGUGAGUAAAUAUAAGACAAUUGUGACCAAAGGCUGGACUUCCAGGCCAAGGACCACCCCAUAGAAGGCAUGGUCACCCCAUCUAAGUCAGGAAGUCAGGGAAACCCCAGGACCUCCAAUCCACAACAGCAGAAAGAAGGGACAAACUGUUUCCUCCUCCUCCAAUGUGUGUGUGUGUGUGUGUGUGUAUAUAUAUAUAUAUAUAUAUAUAUAUAUAUAUAUAUAUAUAUAUGAAACCAUGAUUAAUGAAUUUCCUGAUGUUUUGCAAUUUGGGCUUUCCCAUUGAUGGUAUCUCUUACUGAUCUUAAAAAAUAGCCAAAUAUGGGAACACAUAAAAUGUUGCAUAAAUCGAAAGUGGUUCUUUAGGAGGAAAAUAUCAAGGGCCUCUGACCUGCAUGGUAUUGUAUACACUACCAAAUAUAAGAAGAUGAACAGGAAGACUGAUGUGAGAAUACCUGUUUCACAGUUGGAGACAUCAAAGAACAGGAGCUGCAAUGGUACCAGGGCUUUAAGGGCCACCCCAUUGUUCACCGGCAGUUUCUCUGCCCACUUAGUUUCACCAUCUUCCUCCAGGGGGUGCUGUUUCCUAUUCUAGCCCCUGCUAACCGUAGGUUCCCUUUUGGCAAGCAGGGAAGUCUGCUAAGAUAUUUUCAGUAACUACAGGGAUGACAGUACAAAACACUACUGUACAGAAAUUAGGCCCAGGGGGUACAUGGACAGAUUUUUCUCUGCUAAAGAGCAGGUAGAGAAUAGGAGAUCAAGUCUACAGAGGGAUCCCUCAAAAUCUCUGAGCCACGGAAAUAGAAAUCUUUUCUAUUUCUUUAAUUGGUAAGCUGUAGAAAAAACAGUGGAUAGCUUCCUCAUCAGGAGGUAAUUCUUAGUAAAAGCUUCUAAAGCUUGCAGUUUUUGUUGUUGUUGGAGGGGUGGUGUUGGUAGUGGUUAGUUUUAAAUCUGGAACCCCUUGCUUUGGUCUUCGUACAAUUCCACCCUGAUUUUACUCAUGCUUGCCCCAGUGAUAGCUGGAGCCAAUCAGGCUAACUCUCUGUCUUGUUCUGAAAGGAAUGGGGACCUACUGUGGACGCAGAGCAGCUGAUCUGUUUGUGGGGGGUGGUCUUCACCUGCAGUGGAGAACUUGACAGUCCACCAAAGAGGGCUUAACCUGCCUCUGCCUGAACAGACACUCCUCAAGGCUUUGGUCUGUGUGUUCCAUACAUUGACUGGUGUGUUGCUUCGCCUGUUACGUACAGCAGGUUCAUUGACGACCUUCAACCUAUAUCACCUAAGGUAAUUAUCUCCCAGGCAAGGAAGCCACAGCAUCCUGUUGAUUUUGCCUUCCCAGUAUUAACAGAAGGUGGCUUUAAAAAUGUAGGUGGGAACCCAUGUGUGAAUGCAGUCCCCUGGAGAGGCCUGGUGGAUACAAUCCUUUAAUGCCAUAAGUAAAGAUCAGAAAGGUAUGUAGUGAGUGAGUCUGAGAAGUGGGUACAUGGCCCUUUCAGAAAGAGCUGUGAAUGAAGACAAUGCAGAAUAGGUAUGAUUGUUUUAUGUCUUUAAUUUCUUCUUAGCCUACUUGCUUGCUUUUUUACCAGAUGACUCUGGAGAACGGAAACCAAUUGCUAGGUGGUAUAUGAAACUGAGUUAUAUAUUUAAGGACUACUUUGUGAAGAAGAUUUGCCAGGACAUUGUGGAAAGGAUUUGUGGAGAGAAAUGUCUGUUGUAAUGCUGUGCAUGCUCAGGUUCAGGGAGUUUCCAAAGAAGAAAAAGGCCACAGAGCUUUUGUCCAAUCAAUAGCCUCAUUACUGCUCAGCCAAUAACUCCAUUAACACUAAGAGCUGGUUUCCACUUUUGGCAACAAGUUCCAAGCUAAAGAAUGAUGGAUGGUCACUUCAUACAGAAAUCCACGCCCUCUCUUGCUCACUGUGCAUCUGUGUCACAGAUGGUCGCAAUGUUUCCCAUAGUUUAUUUUUAUACUCUAUGAAGCCUAUAAGGUCUAUGCCUGAUUUAAAAAAAAAAAUCCAUCUGCCAAGGGCCAGUAUAUAAAUGCAGUGAUGGGUGAUGUUAACCGUGUUGACCAGCUUUCACAUCACUAUCCUAUAGGAAUUCCUCAUCCAUCAUUCAGCUCUUAUGUGUAGAGAGUUCUACUCUUGUGGGCAUUAGCAUGUUUUCUCAAUGAAGUCAGCAAACAGAAUAUGACAAUAACAAGGAGUAUCACUGCUGUAUAUGUGUGUGUAUCUAUCUAUCUAUCUAUCUAUCUAUCUAUCUAUCUAAUUUUUUUUAAGGGAGAGAGCAUGCACAUGGGGAGGGGAGGUAGAAGGAGAGAGGGAAAGAGAGAAUCUUAAGCAGGCUCCACACCCAGCACAGAGGCCAACAUGCAGCUUGACCUCACUACCCUAAGAUCAUGACCUGAGCCAAACUCAAGAAUCGGGCACGUAAAAGACUGAGCCACCCAGGUGCCCCUGAUUGCUAAGAUUUUUAAACCAGUGAUUGAAACCAAGAGAGAUAAUUUUCUUGCCUUUCUUUGUUUCAUCUGAGCAUAGAGUGAUGUUGGGUUCAUAAGUGAGUUGACCAGCUCCAUUUCCCCAUUAUUAUCUGUUCUCUGGAACAGUUUGUAUAAGAUAUUUGUUCCCCAGAGAUUUCAGAAACUACACCUAAACUGUACCUUAAAUGUACCUUAAACCCUUGGUAUGGAGAAUAGCAUUUUGAAUUUUAAUUCAUUUUUUCCUAUGGUUAUCAGCCUAUACAAAUUUUCCACUUUCAGCCAACUUGGGUAAUUCCUAUAAUCAUGUCUAUUUCAUCUAACUUUUAAAUUUAAUGAAGUAAUAUCAAUUUCAAUUUAAAAAUCUUUUCUAUAUCUGUAUUCAAGCCUCCUUUAAUUCCUUUUGUUUUUCAUUACUACCUUUAUUUUUCUUGGUUAUAGUUGUAAAUAUUUGUCAAAUAUAUUGGUCUUCUCAAAUAAUCUUU